rnacentral:rRNA from 1 species
AUGAACGCUAGCGACAGGCUUAACACAUGCAAGUCGAGGGGCAGCACAGGUAGCAAUACCGGGUGGCGACCGGCGCACGGGUGAGUAACGCGUAUGCAACUUGCCUAUCAGAGGGGGAUAACCCGGCGAAAGUCGGACUAAUACCGCAUGAAGCAGGGAUCCCGCAUGGGAAUAUUUGCUAAAGAUUCAUCGCUGAUAGAUAGGCAUGCGUUCCAUUAGGCAGUUGGCGGGGUAACGGCCCACCAAACCGACGAUGGAUAGGGGUUCUGAGAGGAAGGUCCCCCACAUUGGUACUGAGACACGGACCAAACUCCUACGGGAGGCAGCAGUGAGGAAUAUUGGUCAAUGUCCGAGAGGCUGAACCAGCCAAGUCGCGUGAGGGAUGAAGGUUCUAUGGAUCGUAAACCUCUUUUAUAAGGGAAUAAAGUGCGGGACGUGUCCCGUUUUGUAUGUACCUUAUGAAUAAGGAUCGGCUAACUCCGUGCCAGCAGCCGCGGUAAUACGGAGGAUCCGAGCGUUAUCCGGAUUUAUUGGGUUUAAAGGGUGCGUAGGCGGCCUUUUAAGUCAGCGGUGAAAGUCUGUGGCUCAACCAUAGAAUUGCCGUUGAAACUGGGGGGCUUGAGUAUGUUUGAGGCAGGCGGAAUGCGUGGUGUAGCGGUGAAAUGCAUAGAUAUCACGCAGAACCCCGAUUGCGAAGGCAGCCUGCCAAGCCAUGACUGACGCUGAUGCACGAAAGCGUGGGGAUCAAACAGGAUUAGAUACCCUGGUAGUCCACGCAGUAAACGAUGAUCACUAGCUGUUUGCGAUACACUGUAAGCGGCACAGCGAAAGCGUUAAGUGAUCCACCUGGGGAGUACGCCGGCAACGGUGAAACUCAAAGGAAUUGACGGGGGCCCGCACAAGCGGAGGAACAUGUGGUUUAAUUCGAUGAUACGCGAGGAACCUUACCCGGGUUUGAACGCAUUCGGACCGAGGUGGAAACACCUUUUCUAGCAAUAGCCGUUUGCGAGGUGCUGCAUGGUUGUCGUCAGCUCGUGCCGUGAGGUGUCGGCUUAAGUGCCAUAACGAGCGCAACCCUUGCCACUAGUUACUAACAGGUAAAGCUGAGGACUCUGGUGGGACUGCCAGCGUAAGCUGCGAGGAAGGCGGGGAUGACGUCAAAUCAGCACGGCCCUUACAUCCGGGGCGACACACGUGUUACAAUGGCGUGGACAAAGGGAAGCCACCUGGCGACAGGGAGCGAAUCCCCAAACCACGUCUCAGUUCGGAUCGGAGUCUGCAACCCGACUCCGUGAAGCUGGAUUCGCUAGUAAUCGCGCAUCAGCCAUGGCGCGGUGAAUACGUUCCCGGGCCUUGUACACACCGCCCGUCAAGCCAUGGGAGCCGGGGGUACCUGAAGUCCGUAACCGCGAGGAUCGGCCUAGGGUAAAACUGGUGACUGGGGCU